UACGUAGGGUGCAAGCGUUAAUCGGAAUUACUGGGCGUAAAGGGUGCGUAGGCGGUUCGUUAAGUCUGUCGUGAAAUCCCCGGGCUCAACCUGGGAAUGGCGAUGGAUACUGGCGAGCUAGAGUGUGUCAGAGGAUGGUGGAAUUCCCGGUGUAGCGGUGAAAUGCGUAGAGAUCGGGGGGAACAUCAGUGGCGAAGGCGGCCAUCUGGGACAACACUGACGCUGAAGCACGAAAGCGUGGGGAGCAAACAGG
rnacentral:rRNA from 1 species